rnacentral:rRNA from 1 species
AUUGAACGCUGGCGGCAGGCCUAACACAUGCAAGUCGAGCGGAUGAGGGGAGCUUGCUCCUGGAUUCAGCGGCGGACGGGUGAGUAAUGCCUAGGAAUCUGCCUGGUAGUGGGGGAUAACGUCCGGAAACGGGCGCUAAUACCGCAUACGUCCUGAGGGAGAAAGUGGGGGAUCUUCGGACCUCACGCUAUCAGAUGAGCCUAGGUCGGAUUAGCUAGUUGGUGGGGUAAAGGCCUACCAAGGCGACGAUCCGUAACUGGUCUGAGAGGAUGAUCAGUCACACUGGAACUGAGACACGGUCCAGACUCCUACGGGAGGCAGCAGUGGAGAAUAUUGGACAAUGGGCGAAAGCCUGAUCCAGCCAUGCCGCGUGUGUGAAGAAGGUCUUCGGAUUGUAAAGCACUUUAAGUUGGGAGGAAGGGCAGUAAGUUAAUACCUUGCUGUUUUGACGUUACCAACAGAAUAAGCACCGGCUAACUUCGUG